UUGCAGGCCUUCCUUCAGAGUAUAAGACUACUAAAUCUCAGAUUCUCUCCAGUUUUGAGAUUUCCUCUUUGCAUGAAACAUUCACACGGGUCCUUUGUACAGAGAGUGCUCAAUCUUCACAGUCUGCCAGUAAUGCUCUUAUUAGCCGUAAUCAAAAUGGACAACAGGGUAAUAGAAGGGGAAGUAGAAGAGGAAUUACAGGCAACAAAGGUAAUCAGCGUAAUGGGGAGGCUAGUUCUAAUCAAG
rnacentral:misc_RNA from 1 species